AACUGAAUAACAUGCAUUUUAUUGCUUGAUUUGUGUUGUAUUUGCAGUGUCAUUGAUGAUAGCGAGCCGGAUAGGAUAGAGGCCAAAAGUGCAGAUGCUCUACCAGAAGGUCUUGUUCGAGAGCUUCCCAGUGCAGAUGAGUUCCAAAAAUCGCCUACUGAAGCCGCAGAUGCUACUAUUGAUGACCUAGAAGAUCUCCGGAAGCAACUUGAGGCCCUUAAUUCUUAAAUUAUCAUAUAUUUUUUAUUUGUAGCCCCCUUCGAAAUUGAUAUGUAGCUUCGUUGUUUCUAACUUUAUAGCCGCACCCUGAAGUGAGGGUGUACAUGAGGUGGAUAAUACUAAUCUCCAUACCUGCAAGACACAGUUUUCUGAGUGUUGCAGUAUCUGGGAUUUUUGGUUUAAUUCUCAAAUUUAUACACCUUGCAA